rnacentral:rRNA from 1 species
UACGAAGGGGGCUAGCGUUGUUCGGAAUUACUGGGCGUAAAGGGCGCGUAGGCGGCCUCGUCCGUCCGGCGUGAAAUGCCUGGGCUCAACCUAGGAAUUGCGCUCGAUACAGCGAGGCUAGAGUGUGGGAGAGGUUGGUGGAAUUCCCAGUGUAGAGGUGAAAUUCGUAGAUAUUGGGAAGAACACCGGUGGCGAAGGCGGCCAACUGGAUCACAACUGACGCUGAGGCGCGAAAGCGUGGGGAGCAAACAGG